GAUGAACGCUGGCGGCGUGCUUAACACAUGCAAGUCGAACGAUGAAGCCCAGCUUGCUGGGUGGAUUAGUGGCGAACGGGUGAGUAACACGUGAGUAACCUGCCCUUGACUCUGGGAUAAGCCUGGGAAACUGGGUCUAAUACUGGAUAUGACUUCUCAUCGCAUGGUGGGGGGUGGAAAGAUUUAUUGGUCUUGGAUGGACUCGCGGCCUAUCAGCUUGUUGGUGAGGUAAUGGCUCACCAAGGCGACGACGGGUAGCCGGCCUGAGAGGGUGACCGGCCACACUGGGACUGAGACACGGCCCAGACUCCUACGGGAGGCAGCAGUGGGGAAUAUUGCACAAUGGGCGCAAGCCUGAUGCAGCGACGCCGCGUGAGGGAUGACGGCCUUCGGGUUGUAGACCUCUUUCAGUAGGGAAGAAGCGAGUGUGACGGUACCUGCAGAAGAAGCGCCGGCUAACUACGUG
rnacentral:rRNA from 1 species